rnacentral:rRNA from 1 species
CCGUAUCACGCUGAAUACACCGGUUCUCGUCCGAUCACCGAAGUUAGCAGCGUCGGGCGCGGUCAGUACUUGGAUGGGUGACCGCCUGGGAACACCGCGAGAUGUU